AGCUCCAAUAGCGUAUAUUAAAGUUGCUGCAGUUAAAAAGCUCGUAGUUGGAUUUGUGGGAUGGCCGUCCGGCGGGGGGCCAUUUAUUGGUCCCGUUUGUCCUGGUUUUCGGCCUUCCCUUUCUCGGGUCUAGCGUAUUGGCUGGUAUUAGGUUGUCGGCCGCUUCGCGCCCGUCGUUUACUGUGAAAAAAUUAGAGUGUUCAAAGCAGGCUUAGGCCGUUGGAUACAUUAGCAUGGAAUAAUGAGAUAGGGCCACCGCGGUCUAUUUUGUUGGUUUGCACGUUGUGGUAAUGAUUAACAGGAACGGUUGGGGGUAUUCGUAUUCAAUUGUCAGAGGUGAAAUUCUUGGAUUUGUGGAAGACGAACUACUGCGAAAGCAUUUACCAAGGAUGUUUUCAUU
rnacentral:rRNA from 1 species